rnacentral:rRNA from 1 species
GUGAGGAAUAUUGCGCAAUGGAGGCAACUCUGACGCAGCCAUGCCGCGUGCAGGAAGAAGGCGCUACGCGUUGUAAACUGCUUUUAACCGGGAAGAAACCCCAGGACGUGUCCUGGGUUGACGGUACCGGAGGAAUAAGCACCGGCUAACUUCGUGCCAGCAGCCGCGGUAAUACGAAGGGUGCAAGCGUUAUCCGGAUUCAUUGGGUUUAAAGGGUGCGUAGGCGGAGCGUUAAGUCAGUGGUGAAAUCCUGCAGCUUAACUGUAGACUUGCCAUUGAUACUGGCGCUCUUGAGUGAGCUUGAAGUGGGCGGAAUGUGCCGUGUAGCGGUGAAAUGCUUAGAUAUGGCACAGAACACCAAUUGCGAAGGCAGCUCACUAAGGCGAUACUGACGCUGAGGCACGAAAGCGUGGGGAUCGAACAGGAUUAGAAACCCUAGUAGUCC